rnacentral:misc_RNA from 1 species
GCUUGAUUAUUCCAAUAAUAUUAUGACAUGGGAACAAAUUAUUUCUUAAUAACUAUGGAUUAAUUAGUAAGGCUUUCCAAACCAAUAGAUGCAAGUUUGUUUACAAGAGCCAGUGCAUUGCUAGUGAUGUAAGUGACUCCUGUGACCCUUUUCUGAAGCAUUAAUAUAACUUGUUUAGGAGGGCUUUGGUCCUCAAAACCAUCCAAGCAGGUGUCUUCAUCAAUAUGUGCAGCACUCAUCCAUGUAAUUACAUCCCCCAUUUGUGUAUCGAAGUUGGUGGCAUCAAGAUUUCUGAGAACUCCAAGUGAUUUGUGAAGAUUG